rnacentral:rRNA from 1 species
CACGUAGGGCGCAAGCGUUGUCCGGAAUUAUUGGGCGUAAAGAGCUCGUAGGCGGUCUGUUACGUCUGCUGUGAAAACCCAGGGCUUAACCCUGGGCUUGCAGUGGAUACGGGCAGACUAGAGGCAGGUAGGGGAGAAUGGAAUUCCCGGUGUAGCGGUGAAAUGCGCAGAUAUCUGGAGGAACACCGGUGGCGAAGGCGGCAUCCUGGACCGGCAUUGACGCUGAGGCGCGAAAGCCAGGGGAGCAAACGGG